UUUUUGUUCGCCGCAGUUAUUUCAGUUUUCCAGUAGGAUUUUAUACAAGAUCAGCUCUGGCCGUCUACGCGGUGCAGCGGUCUUAAUCAUUCGCAUUCAAAUCGGAUACCUUGUGUUUUAGUACCUGUAGAAAUACACUGCUAGAACACAAAUAAUACAUGUAAAAUAAAAAUUGAUUUUUGGGAGAAAUCCGUGAAAUUUGGAAUUUUAUUCAAGGAAUCAAUUGUGAGGAUGUUCAGUGCAGUGAAUGUGUAUCAAAAGCAUUUCUGGUGUUGGUAGUGUGGGUGUCACAGGAUCAGCCAAGGAAAAUGACGGAUGUUUUCGGACCAUGGGACGACAAGCCGGGAGACGGCGACAUGGUGGAGACCGUGGAGACGGUGGAAACCGUUACCACGACCACUACAAGGACUAGAACCCCUUCGAAAUCGUCAUCGACGAAGACUACCACAAUGACGACGCCGGCCAAGCUGUUUGGACGAGAGUUGUCGAAUUUUGACGAAGUGGACGUGGAUGAGUUGCUGUCAAAGCUGACGCAGGAAGAGCUGUCCAUGCUUGCCAAAGAAGUGGACCCAGAUGACAACACGUUCCCCCCGUCGCUCCGCAACAACUACGACUGUGAUAAGGACCCCACAGGCCCCCUGAACCGCAAGAAGCUGAUAGAACACAUCAACAAACAGGCCUUGGAGACGCCCGACCGGCCCGAAGUGAAGCCCUAUGUCCCCGGUGUCAUUCGAGGGAAGAAGUGGAUCCCACCGCCUCCACCAGAAAAGAUAAGAGACGCGGAUGAACAGAUCUCGAUCGACCUCGGCGAUGAGUAUGAGCAGGCGCUCGACAGUGCUUCCCAGGAGGAGAUCAUUGACCUGGCUGCGAUCCUCGGCUUCCAUUCCAUGAUGAACCAGGACCAAUACCACGCGUCGCUGCUCAACAAGGGGCAGCCGGUGGGGCUGGGCUGGGACGGCAUCACCAAGGCCUCCAAACCUAAGGUGUUCCCGAUGGACCCGCCCAACGCCACGGACCCGGAUGAGUCGCUGCAGCGCGUGCGUGAUAACGACCUGAAGCUCACUGAUCUCAAUUGGAAUAAUAUUAAGAACAUAAGCGACGAGAAGUUCGAGAAGCUAUUCGAAGCCCUAAAGACCAAUACCAAUCUAGAAGUCCUCUCAUUGGUCAAUGUCGGCCUCAACGACCGCACUGCGCAGCUAUUGGCCGACGCUUUACAAGUAAAUAGUACCUUGAGGGUGGUCAACGUGGAAACCAAUUUUAUAAGUCCACAAGGAGUGGUGCAAUUGGUCAAGUCGUUACUGACCACCAAUUGUGUGGAGGAAUUCAGAGCUUCCAAUCAGCGGUCGCAAGUGCUGGGCAACAAGACGGAGAUGGAGAUCGCGUCGCUGGUGGAGCGCAGCCCGGCGCUGCUGCGGCUGGGGCUGCACCUGGAGUACAGCGACGCGCGCCAUCGCGUCGUCACGCAUCUGCAGCGCAACAUCGACAGGAAUUGUCGAGUGCAAAAGAAAGCGAGUGCUUCGCUCAGCCUCCGCUUGCCGCGCGGACGGCCGCCGGCCGUGGGCGUCGACGCCAGCAUCUUCAACCUCACCCCCCCCAGCGCCGAGGCGGUCACCCCCACCACAGAAAACGUAGAAAACACCAUCACAAUCGAAGCUAAAGAAAGCCCCGUCGAUGCACCAGAAGGCAUUGAGAGAAUAAUUCCCAUAGAACAAAAGACGGAGAUAGAAAGGAUACAAGACACAAUUGUGCUGGCAGAGAGACCUGAUACAAACCCGAAUCCCCACUCCCGAGAGGGGAGCGUAGAAAGUUAUAAAUAGACUUCGCAAUUAUCGUACGCCAGCAACGACGCAGCCAGAACAGCGCUUAGACCCGUGAGCCCUCAUCUGCGGUGGACGCGUACGCCGCCUGACUCAGUUCACUCGCAGCCGCAGCUACGUAGUGGGCUGGAUCCCCUAGCUACCCGCUUGCUGGCUACGUCUCCUCUGUCGCUAGUUCUUGUGACUGUGUAGAAAUUAUCUAAUUUGAUCGCCCAACUUGAGCAAACUAUGAACUUGGUUCAAAUUGGCACAAUUUUUAUUUUAUAGAUUGAAACUAACUUUACGCGCGCUAAUUUUAAAAUUGAAUGUGGAUUAUCGCAUUUUUUCUCUGACACUACGGAAAUCUAAUUAUAUAGGAACAAAUUUGUAUUUGUCGCUGCUGUUAAAUGAAUUUGACAAGAAAAAUAUUUUUCAGUAAAAUGUUACCAAAUUUGGUCAAGUCUUCUUUUCAGUUUAAUUUCAUUGGCUAACAAUAAAGCAUUUUACCAUAUGCUUAUGUGCCGACAUCUAGUGUGAGUCGUUAGGAACAACGCAACUCUCAUUCUGUUUUAAAUUCACAAAUAAAGGAAAUAGAAAUGAACCUUAUUUGGGUUAUUUAAAAACGAAUAAGUACAAUUGAUAAUGAAACAUGCAUUCAAAUGUUGUUUUAAAGCUAAGUGGGAGUAUGAAUUAAAUUUGUCUUGAAUGAAUAUUAUUAUAUUUCGAAAAAUACUCGUAUCGUACAAUGCCAGUAGCCGCUAUCUUGCCUAAGCUAGAAAACAAAUGAUUUUGCAAAAAUGCCAUUUGGGUCAGCAAUUUAAUUAUAUUUUCUACACAAUCACAAAAACUUAAAAUAUAACAGAGGUUAUAGUGUACACGAUGAUUGAAUGUUUCCGGCAAGAAUUGUCAUUUUAUGGUCUUAUCACAAUAAAAUAUUAAUCGAACCAUUUUUUGGUUAAUUUUUUUUUUUUAACUGAGGAUGGCAGGUCCAUCAUCCAAACAAACCAAACAAAUCAAAACAUAAUGGGAAUUAAAAUUUCUUUAUAAGUACACGAUAUAAAAUAAAAUAUAGAAUGACAAAACUUGUAGUAUGAUCGACUUUGUACGUUUUAAUAUUAAAUAUUAUUCUAGUGUGCUAAUGAAAUCGUAUUAAUUUUAAUAUAAUGAAUUGUAAUAUAUUUUAUAGAUGUGCACAUUCCAUUAAUGCGAAACAUGCUUCUCUUAUUUUGACUUAUUUUUUGCCCUAUGUAAUCUUAUCUUUUUAAUGACACAUAAAACAUAGGUACCUACACGCAAUCUUGACGCGGCCAUUUUGUCCUUGAAUCCUGAAUACAAAUUGGAGCGAUUGCGGUUACCUUAUUUAGAUGUUCUUGAUAUUUAGAAAGUAGACUUAUAACCUAACGACUGAAAAAAUCUUUUUGAUUGAUAUGCUCUAUAAUGACUGAUUUUUAUAACAUCAAAUUUUGUAGCAAAUGUGAAAAAUAAACUGGAAUCAGAAUAUUCAGGGUUUUAUUGUAUUUUUUGGGAAGAAAUACUUAGAGUGGGUAAUAACUGCAAUGCAUUUUUUUAUUGUCCAAUUCUAUUUAUACAUAGUACCUAGAAAUAACGUUAAAUUAUGCGUAUUAAUUUUCUUUACUUACUAUAGAGAAGCCAUGUUCUGCGUCAAUGGAGAGUAAUGUUAAUGAUACAAUUUUCAAUAAAGCACUAGGUUUGUAGCAACGUUGCCUUGUGUCUUCAGCAAAUGAACUGUUGUCUAACCGUAGAAAAAAAGAACUCAUGCAAAAAAUGCUUUAUAUGUUUCACUAUAACCUUUUGCUUUCUUGAAAUAUAAACUUGCUUAAUGUAACUCUUAUGUAUAUUUGAUAGAAACUACUGGAGAGUAAGUAUCCGUAACAUUGUGAUAAACAUCAUGUUUUUCCAUUAAAAAAAUACUGCUUCGUUUUUUUUUCGUCUUUAGUUUCAUUAAGAGAGAUUAUUUGUAUAUGAAUUUAGAUUUUUAAAGUGUAAUAUUCUUUUAUUGUGACGAUUUAUGAAAUUAAAAUUUAAUAUAAAACAUAAUUUUAUUUGUAAUAAUAGUUUUAUUUAUGUUUAUUUUAUAUUGGUUUCAGGAGCAUUUUGGUCCAAAUGAAAUCCUUUACUUGUAGAGUCGCAGUUCUGUAGUUUGUGACAAAUGUAAAAAAUACAAUAAAGUACAUAAACGACA